GUGGGAGGACAUACGGAGUGUGUGGCCCCCCAUGCGUUUCUGAGGCUGAAGGCUGUUGGGCUCAGGUCCAGGCAGCCCUGUCUGUCCUUGGCUGUGGGAGAAGGGGAGGGGUGUGAAUUCUCCGGGGAUACUGGGGCAGAGCCCUCGAGGGGUGCUGCUUGCACCUGGGGCCAGGAUUUGGGCUCAGGUGGUCAGGGGGACCCUCAUUCUAUGCCCCAAGCACCAGCCCAUCAGGCCAUCUGCCCCACCCAGUGGCACAGAAAAGGCCGAGAAACCUCCAAAGGGGUUGGGGCAGGCAGAGGGGUCCGAGGGCCAGGCAGAUUUGGCUGGUGGAAAAGGGGGCCCAGGAAGGGGCCUUCCCCUGCUUGGGGUGGGCCGUGGGGCAGGGCCUGCGUUUUAUUUUCUUCUCCCCUGGCCACAGCACUGCUGGCCUGGCCUCACCACCAUCUACCCAGCAGGCCAGGGGUUUGGGUAGUAGAGGUCCUGCCGGUCCUGGCACUUGCGGCUCCGGGCCAUCUGCUCGUACUGCUCGCGCGCCACAACGUCGUGUCCCCUCCCUGGGGCCCCAAGAGGGGCUGGGCCCUGCACCUGCCCGGGCCUCACCUUGCCGUCGCACUGCCUCUUGCCCAGCUUGGUCUCCUCGGGGUGGUAGAACCACUUGACCUUGACCACCAUGUUGCUGCCCCACGACUCCCACAUGCUCUC
rnacentral:lncRNA from 1 species